CACAGCAGAGCUUCAGGAAGUUUACAGAAAAAUAGAAUUAGCUGGGGGGCCAGCACUCUGGCAUAGGGAGUAAAGCUGUCUGCCACCUGCAUUGCCGACGUCCCAUACGGACACCCAUCCCAGCCGCUCUGCUUCCGAUCCAGCUCUCUGCUGUGGCCUGGGAAAGCAGUAGAAGAUGGCCUGUGGGCCUCUGCACCUGUGUGGGAGACCCAGAAGAAGCUCCUGGCUCUUGGCUUCAGAUCAGCCUAGCUCUGGCUGUUGAGGCCAUUUGGGGAGUGAAGCAGUGGAUGAAAGAUCUCUCUCUCUCUCACCUCUCUGUAACUCUGCCUUUCAAAUAAAUAAAUAAAUCUUAAACAAAGAAAAGAUAGUGAGAAUUUUCCAUGAACUUUUGGAAGCUUCCUGGCACACGUGUGUGUGUGUGUGUGUGUGUAAAAAUGUUACCUCUGGAGGGCUAGAAGGGCUAGAGUCUGUUGUGGACUUAAUUUCUUCCUCUUUAUUGUAAUUCUGAGUUCAUAUUUUCCAGAACUAACUUCCCUGAGCGUCACUUUUCUAAUGAGAACAUAACGAAAGAAAAAUGGAAGCAGCAGUCAGUGUGAUUUAAGGGGAGGCAGGGCCCUGGGUCCCCCGCCAGCCUGGCCUUCCUGAGCGCGGCUGCCCUUUGGGGCCAGUCCCUACGAGUGCAUUAUGUUAACGAGUGCACCCUGGCAAACGGCUGCCAACUUCGGCAUAUUUUACUAAUUCCACUUCCUUCUUUUUAAAAUAGGAAGGUAGUGCCUGCCCUGGGAAUAUAUGUCAUUUCGGCACUCCGGUUGGCUCUGGAUCCUGAAUUGUUGCAGCCUGUUUGCCUGGAUGAAGAUGCUAACACUGGGGCAGCUGAAGGCCAGUUCUGAGGGCGCGCGCUCAAAAAAACACACUCUGCGGAUAAUGCUAUUAACCACCCUUGGCCAGGUCUGAAGCUUGUUAAUAUUCCAAAUACCUUCGAACAGUUCAGCAGCACAGCACAUGUCUAAUUUGAAGUAAUUUAUUCUGUUAUUAUUUGGGUUUCUGCUGCCAGGAACUCGGGGCAUAUGGCAUUCCCCUAAGACAUGAAGAAGGAAGCCAUUAGGGGUGGUAAUAAGGGCUGCACAGUCAUUGAUAUGUUUAGCUUCUUGGCUUGAGGUAGGAAUCCUGAGUCAGGAGCCCUCGUGGCCUUCCAGCUGUGCACAGGUUAAAGAUCCGGCUGCUGCCCUUCUUCCAGCAGGGCCACAGCUCUGGGGGCCCCGGGGCUGGGCUUCGUGAUGUGCUGCGAAUCAUCUGGAUGCCAGCUCAAAGCGUGGGUUCUAGGAGUCUGCCCGAUAAUACGGUUUCUAACCACUGCCUCCGAUGAUUCUCAUCUGGCUGAUUUGGGAAACACUGCAU
rnacentral:lncRNA from 1 species